CUGCAGGUGGGCUGACCUCAUCGUUCAACAUCUGAAAGCGAAAUUAAUCUACAAAAACAAUUGUGAUGCUAUACAAGAGUUCCUGAGCCUCAGAUUCAUGAGCCAUCCUUGGAAUAUGAAUUCUGGGCUACUUAACCCAGUGAUUCUCAACCAGGGUGCCAUGACAGCCUUUGAAGGGUGCCGCUGGGAUAGAGGAGAUAAAUGAGACAGUGCAGGCUCCAGAGAGAAGAUAAGUCUCGUUUCUGCCCUUCCAGCCACUCCUUCUCCCUGCACUCACUGCAGCGCAGGCUCUUCCCUGCCAGCUGCUCCGUCUCCUUCCCAGCCCCUCAUCGAGAAGAAAUGAGAAGACGUGUUGCAAGUUAGAGGCAUGAAGACAGAUCUGACCUGAAGAGUCAAUGGGAAUGCCAAGUGAUGAGCAGUUCUAAAAAGAUAUAAAGAAGAUCAGACUAAAAUAUCUGCUGGACCAUCUUGACCUUAAACUCUAUCAAAAUCAUGCCUUUCAAGUCACGCCUGUUAUAAUCUCAGGUGAUCACACGCAACACUCCUGGAGAAGGGCAGGAACCAGGUUGGAGAUCUCUAAAACGCUUUCAGAAAACCACAGAAAUGCUCAGCCUGCUGAUCAGAAUACCCAAGGAUGAGAAGACCAACAGGACAGAACAGAAGGGCCUGGUUCCUUAGAAGAAAACACACCGCCUACCUCUGAGAAAACCAUGUGUAAAAACACAAGGAUUCACACUCCCAAAGCCGGUGAUCUGUAUAAACCAGGAGAUCUGUUGUACUAAGAAACAUAACAAAAGGUCAGAAAACCACAGGACCUUCUUGGGGGAACCAGAUGAAUACAAUUCAGCAUGCAUGUCAUCAUCUGCAUUUGCUCAUGCAAAGUUACACAGGGAACAGGGCACAUCUACACAAGAAGCUCCUGCACAGUGGUUACUGCUGAUUUGGAUAAUCAAGUACUAAAUAGAUGUGCAGUAACUGGAGUUACUAUGCAGUAGUGCCAGCGAAUGCCUUUUUAGUGACACUACUGCAGAGUAGCCUAAUAAUACUUCACAGCGUAUUAGCACUGUUGAUGCUGUGACACACUAUUGUGCAGUAUUAUUCAGCUACUGCACAGUUAGCAUCUCGUGUAGACGCAUCCAGUAUAUACAAUUUUUCUUUUGAUCUGAGUGAAUCAUCAAAAUAUUUUAACAACAGCUAGCAGAGAGUUAAAAUAACUGUUUUGUGCACUGACUCUCAGACGAGGGCUGAGAGGUCUAAGAGGCCCUGCAAAUCUGGGCAGGAUUUUUUUCUACCAGACAGAGCUGUGAGGAGGAAAUUUGGCCAGAGUGUGGAUACUGGCUUCACCCAAGAGGAGUAUGAAGAACAAACCAGAACAACCCAUUUUAUCUUUAGCCCACUGGAGUGACAGGAAAAGUGGUUAUUUAAUUAGAGGUUAUAGAACAUGUGUUAUCCAAUGGUAAAUACAACUGUCCUAUAUGAGGAAGUAAAAGAUUGGUAUUUAUUCAAAAAACUCUCCUUGUAAACUCCCAAGUGACAGCUGCUUCACUUCCAGUCACAACAUGCCCUGCCUAGUACACUAAUGCACUCCAAAUUAGCCCUGUUCUAGGCAGCUUCAAGUGAGAAAUUCCCUUAACAGGCACAUAAUAAGGAAAACAUUGCUAUUCUUAUGUAAGCAAGUAUGAAUGAUACCCAUCUCUGAGGCUGAUGCUUCUAAUACUUAUACCAAUACAGCACAGAAAGUCUCUGUCCCUGGCAUGCCAUAGAUUAGCAGCACCUUUGUGCUUAUGAAAAAUUAGUCCAAGUAUAUGUCCCUGUAGAGCAAAGCCUACUUAGAAAUUAAUUGCUGGACUACUUCAGUCAACUUCAGAUGGAAGGUCUUGCUCGCACUUCUGUUUUCAAGGGUACAAACUCAAUGGAAGUUGGCUACCUACAUAUAAAGAAAGCUUGUAUGGAGGGAGAUGGUGGACCUGCUAGGUAAGAACCGGAGGACUGUAGCUCAGCAGGAAUUGGAAGUCUCAGCACCCCUCUGGAUCAAAUUCACAGAUAGCAACUUUAUUUCUAGACCCUGUCUUUAGCAGCAAGAUCUUCCUCUCUUAUAAAUAUCAAAGCACUUCUGCCACAGGUACUUUGUCACAGCUGAGCAACUGGCAUGUCCACUUUGUGGGAAGUUUUAUAAGGUAUGAAAAAUUAAGGAGUGUUCCAGCAGUGCACAUGCCAUUAUUUGGAACAAAAAACUGGAAUGGUCACAAAACUAAGUUCCUGCAAAGUAGGCAAGAGUGUGAACUUACUGCGUUGUCAGCUAUUGCAUAGUGCUGCCUAUGUGCAUGCUAUAUCCCCAGAGUAUGUGAGGUACAGCCCACUUUCACUGAGGAGAAGCUAUUUUACACUUAUCACAGGCUAAGUGCAUGCACAUGGGCAGUUACCAAGGAAGAGUUGGCAUGCUGUAAGUUCAUGUCCAACCUUACCUUGUGGUCACUUGUUUGUGAGUACAUAUCCCUAAAACAGCAGAGGUAUCUAGGGUAUAUGCAAUGCUCAUAUUAGCUCGCGACCAGUUAUCAAAAUAUAACUGGUCAAAUCACCUCAAUGUUGUUUGGUCUGAAAUGGCAGACUGUAUUGGUUUAAAUAUAUCUAUGAAAGCCAAAAUUUGAAUGUUUCCUCUUUUUUUUGUUUCAAUACUUUUCCAUGUUUGUCUCUUGAGUUAUCCCAGUAAAAGAGAAAAUUCCUUCUGAUGGGUGGAUCCCUGAUGUAUGCAGGUAGUUUUCUUCACCUUCUGUCAUAUUGAGCAGGCAUCCUGAAACAUGGGCAGAAAGCGAGCAGUUGGGAAGAAGAAGUAGCAGCACACACUCCUGGGGGAGGAAUGUGCAUUCAUUAAAUGCUUCUUGAAAUGAAAAGAUUCUGGCAAAGAUGGAAUCUAGGUAAAAAAAGAAAAAAACUCUACAUACACAGCACAGCCAGUGAACAAGCAUACUGUUCUGCUGCACCUGCAGCUGGAUGGGAGCCAUUAUCCCUCUCUUACUGUGACCCUCCACCUUGGAGAGGUUUAAAGGAACUAAAGAACCGCCUCCAGCCUAUACAGCAAAAAAGUGUCUCUGUAAUGGAUUUACCAAACGUAAAAUCCUUUCAAGUGUCUUGACUUGCGGUGCAGUAGUAUGGAAGGCACUAACUUCAAAAUGUCAGAGCUGUGUCUAUUCAAUUGCAUUACUUGCAGAUAACUAUAGGUACCGGAUUUCCUGGUGGUGGAUGGCUAUGUCAUGCUGUCAUAUACUCUUAGCUGUACAAAAUGCUCUUUAACUUUGUUAGGUUUCAUAUUCUAACUAUGGUGUUUAGUAGGGUGGGGUUUCUUGCUGCUUCUAAGAAAUAGAAACUAUCACAUAGCAGGAAGAAUAGGAAUGCAUUGCCAGUAAGUGCCAUCAACUUUGGAAUCAAAAUGUUAUGAUGUCUGAAAAUCCUUGUUUGUCACAAUCUGCUUUUUUUGCCACCCAGGUUUGUCAGUCAUUGACACAUGGGGAUAUCAAGAUAGGAGCAAUCACAAGAGCCUUUCUCCUCUCUGAAAAUGCAAGAUCUUGCACUAAUGCACAGUAGUAUAAUUCCCCUUUCUCACCCAACCUAUAUAGGGGUUUUACAAACCAACAUAUAAACCUGUAAUAGGAGCUGAGUCUGACAAAUCUCUAAACAUUUAUAAAUGUGGGACAGGGGGAAGGGGGCAGGAGGAGAGGGAGAGUUUGGCCCCUUCUUGUUUUGUUUUUCCGUCAGGAAUUUCCUCCUCACCAACUGUGCUCCCAAAGUAAAUA